GAUGUAAAGGCGAUUGCUCGAUUAUUUGCUGAUAUGGGUGAUUCCUAUGUUGAAUUGAUUGCAACCGGUAUGAUACUUGAUCUAUUGAUCAUUGUGAAUCUUUAGAAAACUCCAAAAGACAACAAAGCAAGGCUGGUCAUCCAUGGAUUUAUAAAGAAGGUGUUGUAUGAAAAGUGAUUGGUGGAGUCGCGGAUCCUUCUCAUUUUUAAAAAUUCGUCCUUUUGUCAGAAUAUAUCUUCAAACCAUUUUCACCUAGGCAUUGAGCUUAGGUGUCCAAGAUAUAGACCAUAAAUUUUUAACAUAGAGCCAUGGAAAAUGGAGACGGUUGCCUAUUUAGUGCGGUCGUGGUUCCGAAUAUGGGGAGAUUGUUAUGGUUGCUAAUUUGGAGAGGAUUAAGAUGAUGUUAGAAAAAACACAGGGAUGAGCUUUCGAGAAGCACACGAUCAUUGGUAAUAUGCCUUGCAAAGAACUAGGAUGGUCAAGGAAUAGCCUUCAAAGACUUAAUUCAGCUGGAAGAGGAAGAGAUGUCAGUCCCACAUUUUGAGUUUGUUGCUGGUGAAGGAUCUCAACCAGUGGAAGAAAAUGCUAAUGCUGUUGAUACACCAAUAGUUGAUGAUCCACCAUCAGUGAGGUUCACUUGGAAAAUAGAGAAUUUCUCAAAAUUGACUCGCAAAAAGUUGUACUCUCAUAUUUUCUUUGUUGGAGGAUACAAAUGUAUUUUGCUGACAUGGUGUCUUGGUCAGCCGAGUGCUCAUGUAUCCAAAAGGAAACAACACCGACCAUUUAUCAAUGUAUCUUGAUGUUGCUGACUCUACCACAUCGCCACAUGGUUGGAGUAGAAAUGCUCUGUUUAGCCUAGCUGUGGUUAACCAAAUUCAUAGCGAGUUCUCCCUAAGCAAAGAGGGGACUCGAUUUACUAAGGAAAAUGUUUUGGCAAUUCGAAGGAUAUGCAUCUUCAAAUGGACUCGACUAUCUUUAAAAUGUUUUUGGGCGUGGAAACAUGUGAGCAAGUAUGGGAGGCGGGAUCCGUUUCUAAAUCGGGUCGGAAUCUUGAUUUGGGUCAAAAUAAAUGGAUCGUAUAUAUGGUCUUUUCCAAACGACAUUACUAUACAACCUCACUUUUCUAAACCCUAUCCUCCCUCUCAUUCAUCGGUGUACUGGAUCCAUCAUCGUCUUCUCCAAAGGAUUCACCAAACAGGCUACUGAAAAGGUGCUGCAAAGGGAUCAGACCAAUCCAAGGAUGGGUCCAGAAGCAAAUGUUUGAGUAUUCUCCCACUGAGACGCGCGUGACCGAGUUUUGAUUAGAUCCGUGAUUGCUUAAAUUGGAGGCCGAAGAAUUAAUGUGGCACCAUAAAUCUGAUAUGGAGCUUCUGAAGUGAUCUUCCAUGGAGUUAAAAGAUACCUUAUGCACAUGUUUAACAACUGCACCCCACUGGUUUUCAGAUUCGGUUAUAUCAAAGGAACAACUAGAAGAACAAGGUGAACAUGAUCAAGGAGGGAAAGAUUGUACCAUCAGAAGUAACAAUCAAGCUUCUUGAAAAAGCAAUCUUGGAAAAUGAAAAUGACAAAUUUUUAAUUGAUGGAUUCCCACGUAAUGAGGAAAACCGUGCAGCAUUUGAGGCAGUCCAAGGUAGCAUGUGAAUUAUUUUUUGUAUGUGGGGCUACAACACAUGGGAAACCUUUUAUUCAUCUCGCUGCCGUAGAUUUGAGAGGCAAAGUAUACGAGCUGCUUAGACAAAAUGCAACAAGAUUCUUGCUGUAUGAUGUCUACAGAAACCCCGACCCCCUUCAGUUUGACGGGCCAGGUUGGAAACAACAAUUAAACAUUUUGCUCGGCAUGUCAAGGAAACUAAUUUUACUUGUGUCAAAAGAUGGUCAAGAGCGAUUCACAAGCCUUUAGUCCAAGUGGUACCAAACAUGUAUAAUUCCUAAGUUGUAUACAUAACCGAUAUUUGUCUUUUUCUUAAUGUUUUUGUACACGGCUUAUAAAGAAAACUUUGUUACUAUUUUAUGUAAUGUCACUUUAUUUGCAUUA